rnacentral:lncRNA from 1 species
CCCCGCGUCCGCCGGAGCGCGGCCAGCAGCACAGAACGCGGGGGUCGCUCUCUUCGGCCGCCCUGCUCCUGCCGUGCCAGCGGCAGCUGCGCCAGGAGCGGGGAAAAUCCCCUUGGCUCGGGCAGCGAGGCCGGGAGCGAGCGGAUGGUGCUGCAGGACAGGAAAAAUCGUUAAACUCCUCCCAUCUUUGCCAGAAGCUUCGGUGUUUAAGCAGCCAAAGCCAAGAGUCUUCAGCACCAGGGCUCUGUGUUACUAUUGGACAUGAAAUGAGUACACAGAAGCUUGGGCAACAGGUCUGCGCUGGAGGGCUCCUGGUCCUGCCCACGCUGUGGGGCCAGCAGGAACAAGGGGGAAUGUGGUGCCAGAGCUGUGUUCUGUCGGGCUGCGCUUCCCUCUGAGGACAGAGUCUGGGCUGAGCGCACUCCACCCUGCCCGCGCCUUUCCGGCAAACCCCAGCGCGGCACGCCUGGUCCCCUUCGAGUUAUUGUAUUCCCCGUUGGAUUACAAUAAACGGAAUUCGCCCACAGAGAAAGACUCUCCUCGUAAUUCGCCGUGGGGUCGCUGGCUGCUCUCUGGAACUCCAAUAGCGCUUCCCAAAGCCCGCGAGGGUCCAGCGGGAAGCGCUAGAAACCUGCCCGCACCUCUCCCCUGAAGAGCUAGCCGGGGCUGAGGAAGGGCAUCGGGGAGAGAAGCGUCGGCAGUUGGUUGUUAUAAAUUAAAAUUUGUCCAGCCAAAUUAAUAUAAAAAAUAAAAUAUUUAUUUUGCAAUCAAAUUCUAUCUAGCCAGCCACAAGGAAAGAACAGAGCCGAGCCCGGGGUCGGCCCUGGGUGUGCAACAAGGAGUCAGCCUCAGCAGAGGUUUUCCUCCAUGCCCACACACUUCUGUCCUGGCACAAGCGGUUUUUAUAGGGAAAAUUCCGCCUGAGGCCAAGAUUUCAGCAAUCAGUCUUUUCUUCUAUUCAGAGUCUAUAUGUUAAUAAGAUUUUCCUUUUUGGUGAAGAGGGAGAGCAAAUCACUUUCCAGAGUUUGUUGAAUCCUUGAGAACGUGUAAACUCUCAGUUUACCCCACACAACCGCGCCCCUACACUACAAACCCUUCACCAUCGUACCCACACAGUUUCUCUCUCACUCACUCAGGGCAUACUCUUAAUUACAGCCACAAAAACAGAAGUUAUUUUAUUCUUUUUCUGCUUAAUAUCCGUGUCUUGUAUUUGUACAUCAAUCCCAGCUUCUCCCAAGGAGGCAGAUCAAAUCUUUCAGUGACUGUGGGAGUUUCUGGUUUUCCGAUUCCCACUUCUCCCCUCUUUCUGUAUUAAAACCAAUUUUUAUUAAUGGAUUUGUUAAGCAUUUGUUACAUAUAUUAAGAUAAAUAAGGUGUUAUCAUUAGUAGUAGUAUUAUUAUAAUAAUUAAAAUGUAUAAUUCUGUCAUAAGAUUUUUAAUUAUGUUGUUACAUUUUAUUUAUUAAAUAAAUUGUCAAUUAAGUUUUAUUAUUUAUUCUUAUUUUUGCUAUUUCUUACAGUUGUACAUUUUUAUAAAUAGAUUUUGAGUGACUAGAUAAAUGUAUACAUUGCAUUAAAAUUUUUAUAUUUAUGUAUGUGUGUUAAUAAAAGAAAAUUGAUUGUGUUUUGUAAAACUGCAUGUUUAAUAUUUUUGAUAUUUGUUAAAAAGUCAUUUAAUGUAAGGGAUGUAGUAUUAGAUUGUUUAUUUAGAUAAUAUUUUAAAUUAUUUAAUUGUUUUAGUGUUGUUGAAGUAAUAGGUGGUAUAAAAAGUGAUGCUACGAUUUUUUUUAAAGUUUCAAGGCUUAAAAUUACUUUUAUAUUUUGAUUACUAUUGAUGGAUAAAUGAUUUUUUUGUUUUAAAUUGGUAGUUAUUUUUAUAUUAAGAGUUAAUAAUAUAAGGGGUUUUAAUUAUAUGGAUUAUUUGUAAUGCUUUUUACUGGUAUAUUAAGUAAGUAAAGAAUGGAUUUUUUUGAGUAAUGACAGAUAAAUACAACAUAUUUAAACUUGAAACUUUAGUUAAAGUUACUUAAAGUUACUGUUUUAGGUUGGUUAAUUGGUAAAGAGAUAUAAUUAAAGUUAAAUAAAGUAAAUAGAGUAGAAGUAUAAUAUUUGAUGGAAUUUUAUAAUUUUAAAGUUAUUAAAUAGUAAGAUUUUUAUAUUUAUAAAGAAAUUUAAAGUUUAUAUUUUUUUGUGGGUGUAAAAGUUGGAAUUCCUGUGUAAUUUACAUUUGUGGAAUUUACAUUUGUAUUUACAUUGUGUAAUUUAUGUUUGUAUUUACAUUUUUUUUUUUAUUUGUGGAGUGGUGAGUGUGUUUUUUGUGUGAUAUUAUUUUAUAUUUCUUAUUGAAAUUGACUUGUGGUUUUGUACUUGUUGAGAUAUAAGUAAACUUUAUGUUUUGAUAUGAGAAA